UUUGGAAAUUAUAUUGAAGCACCUGAUGAUUGCUUUUGGGAAAUAUUAGAGGCGAAACCUCAGGAUUGUAUAUGAUGCUAUUGGGACUCUUGCUGAAGCUGUUGGAGGCAAGCUGAAUCAACCUGUUUAUUUUGACAUUCUUAUGCCACCAUUAAUUGAGAAGUGGCAACAACUUUCAAAUUCAGACAAAGAUCU